ensembl:lncRNA
UUCAACAAUUGAAAGCACUUAGAGGCAAGGGGAGACGGCCGUUUAGUUUAAGGAAGCGGCGGCCCGAUAACCAUCUGGGAAAGGGCGUCAGCCGCUCUCAGAUGGGGGACAGUCCAGCCUCGCAGCGGCCGCUUGACAGGAGAAGGACCGUCUGCGGCAGGAGGCGGGGCUCAAGCCCCGCAGCAGAGCAGAGACAGCUGGCCCCGCAGAGGCACCUGCAGCCGGGCUUGCCGGGCCAGCGCCUGGGCGGCCAGCGCGGGCUGGACCGACCCCGGGACAGAGCCGUCGUUGCGGAAGGCACCACGCGCUGUUUCAACAGAGCAAACGCCCGGCCAAGCACUGUUUCCACCUUGAGACUCCUUAGCAGAGGAAGGGCCGGAGUGCAGCGGGGGCCUGGGGUGGGCGCAGAGAGGAGGCCCGGCGCCGGACUGCCGCCAUGGAACAGGACCUGGCUGGGCCCCUCUGGGUCAAGGGACCAUAAACACCUCCCAGCCUGGAAAGGUCUGGUUGCCAGGGGCCAGUGACCAGUGCCAGCUCUGCCAGAGCUUGCCAGCUGUGAUGUGGCCAAGGGACAGCCCCUCCUGCCCCAGCCACACCCAGCUGUUGCCCAGGAGGCAGCAGGAGGCCCGGGAUGGUGGAGGGUCAGCCGGCCCAGAGAGUCCACC